rnacentral:rRNA from 1 species
GGUACCUUCGGGUACUGGAGAGUGGCGCACGGGUGAGUAACGCGUGGGGACCUACCUCUUAGUGGGGGAUAACGGUUGGAAACGACCGCUAAUACCGCAUACGCCCUUCGGGGGAAAGAUUUAUCGCUAAGAGAUGGACCCGCGUUGGAUUAGAUAGUUGGUGAGGUAAUGGCUCACCAAGUCGGCGAUCCAUAGCUGGUUUGAGAGGAUGAUCAGCCACACUGGGACUGAGACACGGCCCAGACUCCUACGGGAGGCAGCAGUGGGGAAUAUUGGACAAUGGGGGCAACCCUGAUCCAGCCAUGCCGCGUGAGUGAAGAAAGCCUUCGGGUUGUAAAGCUCUUUCAGAUGCGAAGAUGAUGACGGUAACAUCAGAAGAAGCCCCGGCUAAUUUCGUGCCAGCA